rnacentral:rRNA from 1 species
GAUGAACGCUGGCGGCGUGCCUAAUACAUGCAAGUCGAGCGAACAGACGAGGAGCUUGCUCCUCUGACGUUAGCGGCGGACGGGUGAGUAACACGUGGAUAACCUACCUAUAAGACUGGGAUAACUUCGGGAAACCGGAGCUAAUACCGGAUGAUAUAUUGAACCGCAUGGUUCAAAAGUGAAAGACGGUCUUGCUGUCACUUAUAGAUGGAUCCGCGCUGCAUUAGCUAGUUGGUAAGGUAACGGCUUACCAAGGCAACGAUGCGUAGCCGACCUGAGAGGGUGAUCGGCCACACUGGAACUGAGACACGGUCCAGACUCCUACGGGAGGCAGCAGUAGGGAAUCUUCCGCAAUGGGCGAAAGCUUGACGGAGCAACGCCGCGUGAGUGAUGAAGGUCUUCGGAUCGUAAAACUCUGUUAUUAGGGAAGAACAUAUGUGUAAGUAACUAUGCACGUCUUGACGGUACCUAAUCAGAAAGCCACGGCUAACUACGUG